UACGAAGGGAGCUAGCGUUGUUCGGAAUCACUGGGCGUAAAGCGCACGUAGGCGGAUUUGUAAGUCAGGGUGAAAUCCCGGGGCUCAACCUCGGAACUGCCUUUGAUACUGCAAAUCUCGAGUCCGAUAGAGUGGGGUGGAAUUCCUAGUGUAGAGGUGAAAUUCGUAGAUAUUAGGAAGAACACCGGUGGCGAAGGCGGCCCACUGGAUCGGUACUGACGCUGAGGUGCGAAAGCGUGGGGAGCAAACAGG
rnacentral:rRNA from 1 species